AUGGGCCGACGGCACCGUCUACGUCGGCUUCUGGAAGCGAGACGGCCUGAGCGGCAUUGUCCAGCAGAAGGGCGUCUACCAGUACCACCCGUCUCCGGCGGCGGCGUCCCCGACAGCGCGCGACCCCCGCGAUGGCUUCGCGAGGGAACUGCCGGGGUUCACGUCGGCGCCACCGAGUCCACGCCGCUGCAGAGGCCGCUCAACAGUUCGGGUAACCGGACGGCCAAUGGGCGGGCGAGCUCCGUGUCCGGGAUGAGCAAUUGCUCCGUCGGCGACCCGAAGUACGACAAGAUUUGCAUCUGGGAGUCGGACGGCGACAUCACCUGUGACAUUGUGGACGGGGCCGCUCUGUUGGACGACGCGCGGAGGAGCGUGAGGAUGCAGGACGGCGGGGAGAGCGCGGCGCUUCUGCCUCCGCCGUCCCAGGCGCCGCGCAUUGCCAAGUCAAGUGGGUGUCCCCGUCGCUGGCGAAGCAACAGGGAGACCAUCGUCAAGGGACACAAGCACUACGAGCUCAUGCUGAACUUGCAGCUCGGGAUCAGGGAUGGAUUGAAGUGGUGCUGGGACAUGUAUAGAGAAGGAGCCCACCUGUAUGGACAAGUUUUGAAUUGGGAUGUGCUGUUUCCUACCUGGUGGUGUAGACGUUAG
rnacentral:rRNA from 1 species